rnacentral:rRNA from 1 species
CCUACGGGUGGCAGCAGUGAGGAAUAUUGGUCAAUGGACGCGAGUCUGAACCAGCCAAGUAGCGUGAAGGAUGACUGCCCUACGGGUUGUAAACUUCUUUUAUAUGGGAAUAAAAUAGGGCACGUAUACCCUCUUGUAUGUACUUUAUGAAUAAGGAUCGGCUAACUCCGUGCCAGCAGCCGCGGUAAUACGGAGGAUCCGAGCGUUAUCCGGAUUUAUUGGGUUUAAAGGGAGCGUAGGUGGGUUGUUAAGUCAGUUGUGAAAGUUUGCGGCUCAACCGUAAAAUUGCAGUUGAUACUGGCAGUCUUGAGUACAGUAGAGGUAGGCGGAAUUCGUGGUGUAGCGGUGAAAUGCUUAGAUAUCACGAAGAACUCCGAUUGCGAAGGCAGCUGACUGGACUGCAACUGACACUGAUGCUCGAAAGUGUGGGUAUCAAACAGGAUUAGAUACCCGUGUAGUC